GGGUGUGAGGGCAGCAUCUAUCACCCCGUUAAUCACCAGGGUUGAUUCGGCUGAUCCAGCUGGCUGGGGGGGUGUCCCCUUCCUCCCUCACUGCUCCAUGUGCGUCCCUCCCAAAGCUGAGUGCUUGGUCGAAGAGGACGACCAGCCCCGGUAGAGGAGGACUGGUCUUCGGUCAAGGGUAAACAAGCAGUUGCGGUCCCCUGCUAGAACCUCCAAACAAGCUCUCAAGGAAGGUUCUCUCUUUCUUUCUUAAAAAAUUUUUUUAAAUUAUUUAUUUUUAUUUACACAGAAAAGGAGAGACAGAGAGAAAGCUCUUCCAUUCUUU
rnacentral:snRNA from 1 species